AGUGAACGCUGGCGGUAGGCCUAACACAUGCAAGUCGAACGGCAGCACAGGAGAGCUUGCUCUCUGGGUGGCGAGUGGCGGACGGGUGAGGAAUACAUCGGAAUCUACUCUGUCGUGGGGGAUAACGUAGGGAAACUUACGCUAAUACCGCAUACGACCUACGGGUGAAAGCAGGGGAUCUUCGGACCUUGCGUGAUUGAAUGAGCCGAGGUCGGAUUAGCUAGUUGGCGGGGUAAAGGCCCACCAAGGCGACGAUCCGUAGCUGGUCUGAGAGGAUGAUCAGCCACACUGGAACUGAGACACGGUCCAGACUCCUACGGGAGGCAGCAGUGGGGAAUAUUGGACAAUGGGCGCAAGCCUGAUCCAGCCAUACCGCGUGGGUGAAGAAGGCCUUCGGGUUGUAAAGCCCUUUUGUUGGGAAAGAAAUCCAGCUGGUUAAUACCCGGUUGGGAUGACGGUACCCAAAGAAUAAGCACCGGCUAACUUCGUGCCAGCCGCCGCAGUAA
rnacentral:rRNA from 1 species